GGUUCUGGAGCCAUGGAGCAGUCAUCUGCUCUCUGACAAUCAACUCAGGUUUUUCCCAGGCCCAUCCUGGCCUGUCUGUCCUCAGGUCCCUGCCUCACCCUUAACCUUCUCAGCUCUGUAUCAGGUCGGGGGCGGGGAAGCUCCGUCAGCUGACAUCCAGAUGGUCUUAGCCAGUGGGGGCUCCACUGGGAUCCUGGUGGUCGGCAGGACGGGAGAACCAAGGUGUUUCUCUCCCUCUUCUUGGCCUAUAGAGGAGUCUCUGGCAGUGGCCAUGCCUCCUGCAUGGCUCAAGCUUUCAUCAGACAGCUCCAUACUGUGGGUAACAGUUUCAGCACAGAAUUUGACCUCAAGCAACAUGAACUCCGAAUAACGCAUAAAGUAACAUCAACAGGAGGCAGUGUGUGUGAAACAGAUCUCGGUCCCGUAACAGCGAAAGAGAAGGACAAAUCAGAUCAUCACACGGGAUGUCUCUUUUGUGCGAUUUCGCAUUUUCCCAUUCAAAACAAAAAAUAAAUAAUAAAUUUGAAGCUA